CGCUCCCAUCACCACUUUCGUUACAACUUCAUCCAUUGUCACCAGUCACCACCGCCGCUGCCAUCAUCGAUACAGUCUAUCGUAUUAUCAGUUAUCACUAUCAUUGUGACCAUUGUAAUUUUUGUUUCAAGUUUGUUUUUUAGUUAUUUCAAGUUACUUUGUUCAAUAUAAUUAUAUUAUGUCAUUAACUAUUGUAGUGAUUUCUAAUCCCCAUACUACCUUAGAAUCACUCCGACCGCUUUCCAGAUUCACGAACAGAACAACAACAAGCUUUGGUAACCAAGUUCACGGCCGCAGCCGCUACAUCUGGGGAGAGACUGUCCUCUCAACAGCCACUAAGGUGAAUCCGAAAACACCUCCGCUGUGGUUUACAUGAGAUCUCUCACACCCACCGGUAACAACCCUACCGGUUUAACAAACAAGGAAGAAGAAGAAGAACAAGAGAAGGAGAAGAUAACCCAUAGACAUCCCAAGAAGAACUCUAUCACUCUCACCAAGCUCUCUCUGUCUACAUCUCUCUCUCUCUCUGGAAUCGUCUCGGAUAAGACGACGACUCUCGUCCUUCGCUUAGCUUGCUUGAGACGCUCCUCUCUUUCCUUUGUAGUCAGACAGAUGGGCUUAGCAAUAGAUUAGCCCAACUGUGUCUCAGACAGAGACAAUUCUGAUAAUGGGCCAGAGCAGUGUGGAUGACACAGGCCCAUACCUUACAAUCUCCACCGUGGGCCAAGUCGAAUCCACCUCUGGCUUCUUGUCGAUCCUGAUGAGAAAGGAACUAGAAAACCAAUUCCAGCCAUCCUCGUUGACAACCUCUUCGAAAAACUCUGAACGUGAUUUCACCUUUUAGUCAACAACAUAUCUCUAUCCUUGACGACGACAAAACCAGAAUGUACCUGAAACCACCUUACCGGAAUCUCUGUUAACGACCAGUGACUCCUACCAUGGCUCAAACCUCCUCAUCUGAAACCCUAAUGACUAGAGAACUUCCGCCAAAAGCAAUUCUCCUCUACUUCUUCUUCAAAUCCAACCUCUGCCCAAGAGUACCAGCUGAUGUUACCACAGAUAAACGUCUAUUCCAGCAACUCUUCUUUUGAGGUUUCUUGUUCUCUUACUUGUAACCAAGAAGGACCAGCUUGUUUUACCACCAGCUAUACCAAGCAUCAACAGUCAAAGCAACCUAAGAACUUCUUGUUAGUGUCACUACAGCUCUAACCCGAGCUUCUCUCAGCCACUACCAAAAUCUCACCAAACACUGUCUUUCCAACAGCUUAUGUGCUACUGCGGCUGCAACAACAACUACAAUUGGCGAGUUUCUUCCUGUUCUUGUUGUUACUUUAAGUUAGAUAAUUGUUCCUCCUUUUGUGAGAACACCUUUGUUGGUCAUUACCAACUUCACCAACAGAACUCAUCAAUCACACAGUUUCCUUCAUGACUCCUGUUACAGCCAUGAACCUGUCUCAGUGAUUGAAAUAAUAAACUUCCCUCUGUAGCUUGAUUCACCUUGAUAUAUCCUUUUGAUCCAUAUCAUAUGCACUGAUCUUAGAAUCAAAAUUCUCUUGAAUCUUAUGCAGUAGACCUUUGAACCAUACAUGCUUCAGCCUGAAACAUUACCUGAUUCAACCAGCUUAACACAAUCUCAUCUGACAUUCACUCAAAGAGCUAAUGCACUUAGAGAACCUAAGAUUGCACUUGCUGCUUUCUGUUUAAACAAAACCAGCUCUGAAACUGUCUUGUACCGCCAUCAUCACUAAUGGAACACGCCUCCAAACUAGCACCGUUGAGAAGACUUUCGACACAACCAUCCAUUCAGAUCUUAUGUUUAAACAGACCCUGAUACUUGCAGAUCUGCACUACUAGCAGACUCAGGAACCAGUCUCUUGUCAGUACCAGAACCAUGACCCAUGAGACUUCCUUUUACAGCUAACCCUCAUCACAUCUCGAGCCCGUGACAACCUUUCUCCAGCUGUAAAACCAUUCCACACCAUACAUUUUACCUGUAUUAAGGAAUGCACCACACAAAUGGUGUCCGCAUCACAACAGUCUUUGACGUUACCAUCAGAAUUCCUUCUGAUUUACCAUUAUCUAGUAAACAGUAGAUAAUCCUUCACGCGUGAGCUUCUUUCAAUCCAGACUAUCGAGAAGAUCUCCUCAAUUCUCUUCUUGUGAUGCUAAGGAUACACAAGUAUACAAUACUUGCUCCUCACUAACAAUGCAGUUGACCUUGCAUUUACAUCCUUUCUUGCAUGUGUUUAUGAUCCUAGAACAUGCUGAGCUUCUCUUGUUUACCCUGCAUGCUUUUCCUGAGAAACUUUCACAACAUUUCCUUGAUGCAGACUUGAACAACUAACAUUUACCUGUUAUAGUCUUUCAAAUGCAAAACUCCACCUGUAUAUGAAACGCCUCUGCAUCUGUGUUCCUUCUAGAAUCUUUCUCUUGUGUUGCUUCUAUUAGCUUGAUGAAGAUCCUUGUCAAGAUGACAAUAUGAGCAGCAGCUCAAAUCCUCCUGAGGUGAUUGACCUUGAGAACAUAAUCUGCUGAGAAUCCGGCAGAGAUUAUCUCAAUCAGCUUAACAUUUUUCUUUGUCAGCUUAACCACUUCCCUCUCUUCAUCAAAGCUUUUACACCCAGCAACUUACCUUGGUAGGUGAACCAUUCACAACAAGCCUUCUGUCAAAACAGAAAUUCCUUGUUUUUUUUCAACAAAAAAACUGAACCUUGUUUGAACUUGUUCACUCGUUUACCGUCCUUGGAUUUCCUGUCUUCAAUACACAUCUCACAGCCUUUGAGACUCUAAAGUACCAGUGAAAGACCUAUCUCCAAACUCAUAUCCUUCGAAGCUUAGCCAACAACAUAAUUCAGAUCACGUGACCAAUCUGAAUCACCCAAGACAUCAUCCAAAUGCACAACCCCACCUGGAACCAACUCAGACAGUUCGAGUAUAAUUUACACUCUUCUUGAACUAUCAACAGCUCCACCUUGAAUGUGAUCCAUUUAGAAUGCUCCAAUGUCACUAUUAUAGGCACAACUCCACCUCUUGAGUUAAACAAAAUUCACUGUUAACUUCCAAUCAACUCAUCUGACUUGUGUAGAUGACAACCUUAGUGUGAGUUAAACCAUGAGCUAUAUGUCAAAUGGUAGACAUAUGUUUCAUGCCCACUACACACACAAUGAACAAUCUCUUUCUUCUAAGAGAAAUCACCAAGAACUCUUUACUACUUCUGAAGUAUUUCAGCUCUGUUUUCUCCAACAGAUUUGACCUGUUAUAGACUGUGACCCCUAGACUCACUUGAAGUCCACUUCAGACUUGUCUCCUUAAUCUUCUGCAAUUUCUCACUUACUCCCUUGCACUCAUUACCGAGAUCUUGAGCUGUUUCACACUAUGAAUCACUCAGACUCUCUGAAGCAAUACAAUGAGAUCAAGCAGGUUCAGAAACUUGCAUGUCUGAACUUGUCUAUAACCCACUGAACCAUACUCUCUUACCGUAGCUUCUUACCACCAGUUACUAGCUUUAAUAGUAACAACACCACUUAUUUACCUCAACAUUACUCUGAGCAGAUCAUUCCCUGUCAUUUACUCAAUCACUUAGAUGUCUCACCAACACACCUCCUGCUGCUAUUACCACACUGAUCCUUGUGUUACAGCAAACAAUACUUGAUUUGCUGACACAUCCUCUUCAUGCUUCAACAACUACUUAGUCUAGGUGAGACUCAUACACAUGAUCUCCAUGACAUGAUGACUCUUUAUGCUUCCUCAAUGAAUCAUUUACCUGACCCAUUUCUUUAGCAUAAACCUCAUGUUGCUUCAACCUUACUACCACCUGAUCACUUCAUACAAGGAACGAUGUAGUAUACUAGAGACAACAUAUCCAGCAAACAUAGUACAAUUCCUUUGUACUUUCAUGCGUGCCGACACAGACUUCCUGAUGAUCCACUAGUACCGGAGAUCAUCGCAGCCUGUAACCACAUCUGAUUUUCACCAACCAAAUGUUUAACUUCAGAGACUUGACUUGUAACUGAAACCUCCUCAAAUCUUUCUCCUAACAUGAAGUCUUCAACCAUUAAUUGUCUUGAACCACACAGCUAAUUUGAACCAGUUUCUACCUUACUCCACCUGCAGUUCUCAUACUUGAAUCUCAACCUUUAAUCCUGAUGAUUUAACAGAAACAACACACUAAUUUCUAUGAGUCUCCAUUUCUGUUCUUCCAACCAUCCUUUGAACACUAGCUUAAGCAGAUUUCCAACAACCAUUCAAACCAAAACUCAAUGUGAAACCCAACAAAUGAGCUUGGCUUUCCUUUGUCAAAUAUCAGCAAUCUUUGUGUUCUAACCAGGCCUUGAUUCCUUAGUGUAACGCAGGUCUUGAGAAUCCUGAAACUUCACUUACUAACACCAUAAAAUUCCAUGUGAUAUGUAGCGGAUAACAGACUUCCUGUUAUACCAGAUUUGAUACUUGAGAGGUAGUGGAUCCUAGUGAAACCCUCACCACACUUCAAUCUCAAAACUUUUCUUCCUCACAGAUACAACAACACCUUCACCUGCAGGUUCCACAGAUGAUUUAUGUUCAACUGCUUUCGUCGCAGUCUCUGAAAACUGACCUUUCCAGUGCGUGCAACAACUUCACCUACAGAUUCUUUCAACCAGAUCCUGCAUCGUUGCACAAUUACAAGCCAGCUAAUAAAUUUGAGGAUUCCUGAUUCCAUUAACCUGAAAUCACCUCUUAAAGAUCCAAUCUUUACCGAUGAACCUUUCUUUCUCCUUUUUUCCAGUGACUUCGACUCUACCCCGUCACCUUUCUUCUUCCUUUAACUUGCAAUUGUUGCUUUGAAUCCCUGAGCUGAAGCUUUGAACUAAGGCGUCGACUUUCUUCAUAAAGCUUGGAGCUUUCUUGCAAAGCUUGCUCCUUUCUUCAUAAAGUUUGCACCUUUCUUUGUAAAACUUGAAGUUUUUUGAUAAAGCUUGAAUCUUUCUUCACUAACCAUAAAGUUUCUUCUGUUUCUUCAACAAAGCUUGAAACUUUAUAGCUUUUCCUUCACAAAGAUCAAACCUUUCCUCAAACCCUAGCUUCCCUCCACAAAGUUCAAAGCUUACCUCAAAACCUGAUGCUCUGAUACAACUUGUAGUGAUUUCUAAUCCCCAUACUACCUUAGAAUCACUCCGACCGCUUUCCAGAUUCACGAACAGAACAACAACAGCUUUGGUAACCCAGUUCACGGCCGCAUCCGCUACAUCUGGGGAGAGACUGUCCUCUCAACAGCCCUUAAGGUGAAUCGGAAAACACCUCUGAUGUGGUUUACAUGAGAUCUCUCACACCCACCGGUAACAAUCCUACCGGUUUAACAAACAAGGAAGAAGAAGAAGAACAAGAGAAGGAGAAGAUAAUCCAUAGACAUCCCAAGAAGAAAUCUAUCACUCUCACCAAGCUCUCUCUGUCUACAUCUCUCUCUCUCUUUGGAAUCGUCUCGGAGAAGACGACGACUCUCGUCCUUCGCUUAGCUUGCUUGAGACGCUCCUCUCUUUCCUUUGUAGUCAGACAGAUGGGCUUAGCAAUAGAUUAGCCCAACUGUGUCUCAGACAGAGACAAUUCUGAUAAUGGGCCAGAGCAGUGUGGAUGACACAGGCCCAUACCUUACA
rnacentral:lncRNA from 1 species